GUGGGGAAUAUUGGACAAUGGGCGCAAGCCUGAUCCAGCCAUACCGCGUGGGUGAAGAAGGCCUUCGGGUUGUAAAGCCCUUUUGUUGGGAAAGAAAUCCUGUCGGUUAAUACCUGGCGGGGAUGACGGUACCCAAAGAAUAAGCACCGGCUAACUUCGUGCCAGCAGCCGCGGUAAUACGAAGGGUGCAAGCGUUACUCGGAAUUACUGGGCGUAAAGCGUGCGUAGGUGUUGGUUUAAGUCCGUAGUGAAAGCCAUGGGCUCAACCUGGGAAUUGCAGGGGAUACUGGAUCACUAGAGUGUGGUAGAGGGAUGCGGAAUUUCUGGUGUAGCAGUGAAAUGCGUAGAGAUCAGAAGGAACAUCCGUGGCGAAGGCGGCAUCCUGGGCCAACACUGACACUGAGGCACGAAAGCGUGGGGAGCAAACAGGAUUAGAAACCCGAGUAGUCC
rnacentral:rRNA from 1 species